rnacentral:rRNA from 1 species
CCCGCUGAACUUAGGGGUAUCUAUAAGCGGAGGGAAAGAAACUAACAAGGAUGCCCUUAGUAACUGCACAGUGAAGUGGGAAAAGCUCAAAUUUAGAAUCUGGCAGUCACUUGGCUGCCCGAGUUGUAAUCUAGAGAAGUGUUGCCCGUGCUGGACCAUGUACAAGUCUCCUGGGAUGGAGCAUCACAGAGGGUGAGAAUGCUGUCUUUGAGAUGGACCGGCAGUGCUUUUGUGGCAUGCUCUCAAAGAGUCGAGUUGUUUGGGAAUGCAGCUGAAAAUGGGUGGUAAAUGCCAUCUAAAGCUAAAUAUUGGCGAGAGACCGAUAGCGAACAAGUGCCGGGAGGGAAAGAUGAAAAGAACUUUGGAAAGAGAGUUAAACAGCACGUGGAAUUGCUGAAACGGAAACGCUUGAAGUCAGUCGCGUUGACUCGGAAUCAGCUCUGCUUUUGCUGGGUGUACUUUCUUGCCCAUGGAGCAACAUCAAUUUUUACCAUUGGAUAAUAGUUGCUGGGAAUGUAGCAUCCUUUUCGAUGUGUUAUAGCCUGGUGAUGCAUACAGUGCGUGGGGAUUGAGGAACUCAGCACGCCAUGGGGCGUGGUCUUGACCACGUUCAGGCUUAGGACGCUGAGAUAAGGGGGGUAAGGGGACCCGGCGUGAAACUCGGAAGGCCGAAUUGGCGGGGGCUGAAUUCAAUUCCGGCCGAUUAGGAAGUCGUAGUACGAUUGGAUGGGCGUGGUUUUUCAAUGUCUUGGCUUGAAAAACCUGUGGCUUUUCCCAACUUAGGCACCUGGGAGGAAAUGCCCGUUUCGCCCCCUGCGCUAAUAUUGAAGAAGCUGGCACCGGUGGGGCGUUCCGAGGAUUCGGGUAGACAAAAGGGACGAGAGAUUAAGGUUUUCGGCCUUUUAAAGAGAGAGAAACCGGUGACCCCCUGUUUGAGGAAAGGGGGAGAAGCCAUUUGAUUGGCCCCCCCGGGGCGGAAGAAAGAGGGAUACCCCGGGAGCUUCCCCCGGGGCGCCUGUCGGAGUAAGGACCCCCCGGGGGAGAUUUACCCCGGGGAGGGGGCAGGGGGGGGCGGAAAAACCGGGGGGCGGGGGAAGGACGUCGGGUUAGUUGGGGGGGGGGGGGCGGGGGUUCGCGGUUCUGAGAGCGGAACGGAAAAGGGGGGUGGAGGUUGUCAGGGGGGCCAACAGGGAAAAAUUU